ACCCCCCUCCCGUGGCGGGGCCCCCGCGCGCCGAUGUGGCGACGCAUCGCAUGUGUCUGCUCCCCGCCGCAUGCAGCAGCCGCGCCGCGCGGUGAUAAAUUGGGUUUAAUUUCAUUCCUCGAAUCGGAUCGAAUAAUCCGUCGACUGUUCUGGAGAGUGAGCAGGAUCGGAUUGUUAUUCUAUUGUUGUCCGCGGCGGCCAUGGCGUUCUUCGAGGAGACGGAGUCGUACUACGUCCCCUACCUCCGCGCCCACCUGCACCAAUUCGCAGCGUCGGUCUCCGCGGCGAGCUGCGAGGAGGGGGCGGGCGACGACGAGGAGUGCCGCGACGAGGCGGCCGCGCUCAGGCUCAAGAUGGUGGCCGUCGCCGCCAUCCUCAUCGCCGGCGCGGUCGGCGUCGCCAUCCCGCUCGUCGGCCGGAGGCGGCGCGGCGGGGGCGGCGGCGGCAGCGGCGAGGGCGGGUCCUCCGGCGGCGGGAUGUUCGUGCUCGCCAAGGCGUUCGCGGCGGGGGUCAUCCUCGCCACGGGGUUCGUGCACAUGAUGCACGACGCCGAGGAGAAGUUCGCCGACCCGUGCCUCCCGGCCAUGCCGUGGCGCCGGUUCCCCUUCCCGGGCUUCAUCGCCAUGCUCGCCGCGCUGGGCACGCUCGUCAUGGAGUUCGUCGGCACCCGCUUCUACGAGCGCAGGCACGGCGAGGAGGCCGCUGCAGCCGCGGCCACAGCCGCGCGUGACGACACCACGGCGCUGCUCGAGGACGGCUCCCUGUCAGGGAUGGCUGCCGCCGCGAUGAGCGGCGACGAUGAGAAGCAGGACGCCAUGCACAUCGUGGGCAUGCGCGCGCACGCGGCGGCGCACCAGCACAGCCAUGCGCAUGGCCAUGACGCGUGCGAUGGUGGAGCCGUGUACGACGCCCAUGCACACGCCAACGCCCAGGGCCAUGGCCAUGACCAUGGGCAUGGGAGCGAGGAGAGGCCGUCCCAAGCUCAUCAUGUGGUUGUCUCGCAGAUUCUGGAGAUGGGGAUUGUAUCUCAUUCGGUGAUCAUCGGGCUAUCCUUGGGCGUUUCGCAAAGCCCAUGUACCAUUAAACCUCUUGUUGCCGCCCUCUCCUUCCACCAGUUCUUCGAGGGUUUUGCCUUGGGUGGCUGCAUUUCUGAGGCGCAGUUCAAGAAUUUCUCUGCUCUCCUGAUGGCUUUCUUCUUUGCUAUCACAACACCUGCUGGGAUCACCGUGGGGGCGGGGAUCGCGUCAUUCUACAAUGCCAACAGCCCCAGGGCAUUGGUGGUGGAAGGCAUUCUGGAUUCAAUGUCAUCUGGUAUACUGGUCUAUAUGGCAUUAGUGGAUCUCAUUGCUGCUGAUUUCCUGAGCCGGAGGAUGAGCUGCAAUCCGAGGCUGCAAGUGUGCUCAUACGUUGCCUUGUUUGUCGGGGCUAUUGCCAUGUCAUCACUGGCUAUCUGGGCUUAGUGCCAGUGAGGAUUAUUGAAGCUUGGGACAGGCUGCUUGGUGAUCAAUGCACUACGACUUGUUGCCUAGCUACCAUUAACUGAGUCUUGCCAACUAGAAGUGCUUGACGCGAAGGCGAGUGCAGUCAUAUGGAUGGAUGAUGAGUCGCAAGGUGGAGCCAACCCUUUGCUCCCUGGCAAAUCCCGCUGCUAGAGAUAUUGAUCAUGUCACACUCGAGUCGAUGAACGUCGACUUAAAGGCUACGGCGCAUCUGAAGCCUGAAGCUCGUUCAUCAUCAGCAAUCCAAGAGGCUAUUGUGAUACCGUCCGUGCCUCCGGCAGAUUCUCUUGUCAUAUCCUCCCUGGACCAGACACCGGAACCUGCAAAGCCUGGAGGGCAUCUCCGCUGUUGAGAUAGAAAGGGCUCAGGUCCGUGUCUUGUUACCAGCUUUGCUCGUGCUGCUCACGUCCAGAACCACGGCUAAGUGAGGGAACUGUUUGGGACAUGCCAUAGUGAUCAACUGUAAGCUAAGGUUUAGCUGAGAAAGGAGAAAAUAUGUUGGAUCACCUGGAGAGCAAUCAAAACUAGGGGAUGAUCACUAAGUGAGGAUUAAGAGCACAUCUGCCACUCUCAUCAGGUAAAUUCAGGUUCGGCCAUCAAAGAAGUUACGAGCUAGUGUUCUUGCAGGAGAUAGGAGUACUACCAGACAUGAGGGGACAGUCUGGUAAGGUAGCCGCGCAGAAUCUCUUGAGAAAGGUUAACCUUUUUCUUUCCCGGGCUCAUCAACUGCCAAGUUGGAAGAGACUUGCUAGCUAAUUCAAAUGUACCAUAUCCUAUCAGAUAAUGGAAUCUCCAAGGACCGGGACAAAACAGAGAGAAUGCGAAGGAGCUAUUGGUCGUGGAGGACAUCGAUCCAGUGUCCGGGACCGGGAGCUCUAGCCAGGGACAGCAUGAUUCGAUCGCCACUGAGGAGAGGACGAGUGACCCUGCCACGGCGUGGUGGCCUACCGGUUGUGGCAACCCGGCGAGACAUGUUCCGAGGCCCGAAAGAGGCGCCCGUGGAGGAAUACUGAGCACGGAGCACCGAGCAGUGUGCGUGUCAGUUGGAGGAAAUGCGGCAGCCUGCCUGCCUGCCAUCAUUGACCUCCAGGACUUGGAUGGGCGGAGCAGUGAGUAGUUCAGACUUCCGAGAUGAGAUGGACAGAUAGAUAGAUUCUGCGUCUGAAGUCUGAAACCUCUCUUGGCGCAUUCGAAUCGAGUAUAAAGGGGAAGCUCAGAUCAAUCAGGGGCUCUGUGGACGAGUGCGCCUGCAUGCAUGGAGGCACCCUCUGGAUUUGAUGAGAUGGCGAGGGGUGUGGCAUCUGAUGAGGUGACACGGUGGCGCGCUAGCCUGGCGUCUUCCGCAGGUGCUCCACAGAGGAGGGCUUCCCGCGCUAGCUAGCAGCCUAGUGGACGAACAGGAUGGAUACAGCACUCCUGGGCUCCUGGCUUUGGAAUCUUUGCCAAGAACUGGCACGGUGGCGAGCCAGCUUCAAGAGUGAAACCGGAUGUAUCUCUUCUCUCCUGGCUUUCGGAUCCGUGUCGUCCGGCCGUGCGAUGCCGUGCGAUGCGCUGCGGAAUUUGACGUGUUUAACACUGAUGAGGUUUCUUCUGCAUCUGUCUGUCACUGCGCAUCGUAACAAAUGGUUUUCCCCUUCCCGUUGUGCUCUUCCUCUUCUAUUUGCUGUUAGAGCUUGUUCUGGUCUUCAUUCUUUCUUUCUUUUUGUGGGGACUGGUCUUCAUUCUUGGGUGCCGAGAGACGGACUUCUCGAGCAUGCGGCACCUGCAGCAGCAAACCGACCGCGCACAGGGUGUUCAGGCCAACUCCAACCGGCGAUCCAAAACGGACGUUUGAUUUGUUCGGAUUUUGUCUGCCUGAGAUAAGAAAACGGACAACGGACGUGGACGGAGAGGCGGACACGGCCUCUGCACCCAAUGGUGCUACCUUAUUUGACGAGAGGUCCGUCCUCGUCGUUUCCUCGAACACCUAGUAGGCGUGGCGAACCUGCGCUGCUGCCUUCGAGCGCCCGCGCGUCGCGUUUGAGGUCUAGCGUUGGAGUUGGCCUCAGGCACAUGCGGACAACGCGCACAUUUCUAUCGUGCGGGUUUUGUACAUGUAAGUUUGGCUUCUCCUCGGGCACCUUUUAUUCCAGACAGCUGAUCGCAAAGCACAUGCUGUAGCGAAAUAGCUUUCGUCUCUAUCUCUCUCACGCGAUCGAGGCGAGUGGUUCCUGUACCUUCGCUGCUGGCUCCUGUUCCCUCGGCCCGUCGCUCCGGCAGUGGAGGCUGGGCAGGGGAGCCUUGGGUCCUUCUCUUCAGUGUCGAGCAUAGGAUGUAACAUCC